ensembl:lncRNA
UCUGUGCAGUCAGCAGAAAUAGCUUGGCCAAGCAGCCGGACACCUUCAGGUGACACAGACACACCCUGCAGGCUGCUGACAUCAGGCCCCCUCCACCAAAGACUCAUGCCAGGGAAGGCUGGGCUGGACCCAUAAUACCCUAGGGGCUGCACCAAAGUGAACUUGAAAAUGCAAAGUGCGAAUUCCUGAAUGUUGUAAGAAAUUGUUCUUUCAAAAUAUAAAAACAAGAAGUAAAAAUCCUUGUCUAAAAUAAUGCUGACAAAGUGACAAGUUCACCCAGUCUGAAUGCCUCAUCCUCUCACCAAAGUGACAUGUGAGUGAUCCUGGUGGGGAGAAGAGUAUUGGAAUAUUGCGGAGCGUCCGAGGCCGUGCAGCAGCAUGAGUGGAGAGCUGAGGAAGCAAAAGCCAGAACAUGAGACCCAGCCUGAGGGACCCUGGAGAGCUUCCUGGAAGAGGCAACAUCAUGCUGAGAAGGGCAGGCCCAGCAGCAGCUUGCCAGUGUCAGGAGGGAUAUGAUGCUCCAGGCAAAGACAGCUCAUGUGCAAAGCUAAUGGAACCAGAGUGCAGAGCAAAGUGGAAGCCACGUGAAAUUGAUGAGCAGGCAGAUCUGGACAGAAGCUUGUGUGUCCAGCCCAGUCCCAGCUUGUUAAGGACAUACAUCACCAUGACCUCUGUUAUUCCACAGAGAUUCUCACCUCGGGUUCAUCAGUGCUUUGUAGACAGUGGACAGUGACCCAAGUGGAAAAAGAAACAUCUCUUCUGACUCUUUGAGCUGAUUCCCCACUUAGGGGUAAGAAGGUAAAAUACCUGAGAUGUUACAACAAGUGAAGCUGAGGCCAGCCAGGCAAGCAGGAGGCUGAGGCUGAAAGCCCAGCCUUCAUGAAGGCUGCUUUGGAGGAGCAAAGAGCAAGCGUGUCUGUUGGUCCCACAGAGCAGAGGUCCCCAAAGGCCCUGCCAGUGAGGCGAGCAGAGAACAGGUGGGGUGGAGCUCCAGUCUUAGUUGGCUACAAGUGCCAAAGAACUAGAGACCCUGGUCAGGAAAACCGCAUAUCAGAGCACUGACUUCCCCUUCUCCUGUGCCUCCACAGCCUAAGACUGUGUAAAAGAACUCUGAAUAAAUUGCAGAUAGGAGGCAGGACUAACUUGCAGCUCCCAUCUGGAUGAACAGAGCAGUGUAUGGAGACUCACAUAAUGAACUUUUGCUCCAAGAACUACCAUAGCAACAUACUGAGAAAGCUGAGAUAAUCCACAGACCCUUUGAAGGAAGUGGAUUACUGCUGCAAGCCCCCAAAGACAGCCAAAAAACUCUGAUGACAAAGGACAUCAUCUCUUUGGAGAUCUAGGGCCCUGCCCACCACCUGAUCCUCCCUAUAUUAUGGCAGCUAAUUCACUCUUGAAAUUGCCACCUCCUGGCUUGAGGUCAACCAACGCAAAACUAGUUCAAUAAACAAAACUACAACCAAGGACCUUUGCAGAGUCCACUUCAUUCCCCUGCCACCUCCACUGGAGCAAGUGCUGGUAUCCACAACUGAGAUACCUGGAGACAGCUCAUAUCACAGGACUCUCUGCAGACACUCCCCAGUACCAGCCCAGAGCCUGGUAGCUCCGCUGGGUGGUUAGAUCUAAAGGAGAAAUAAAAAUUACUGCAGUUCAGCUCUCAGGAAGCCCUAUACCCAGGGUAAAGGGGAGAGUACCACCAUGGGACCAAAAGGAGCACCCUAUGGGACCAAAAAAUCUGAACAGCAGCCAUUGAGCCCCAGAUCUUACCUCUGACAUAGUCUACCCAAAUAAGAAAGAGUCAGAAAAACAAUUCUGGUAAUAUGAUAAAACAAGCCACUUUAACAUGCCCAAAAGAUCAUACUAGCUCACAAGCAAUGGAUCCAAACCAAGAAGAAAUCUCUGAAUUGCCAGAAAAAGAAUCCAUAAGAUAAAUUAUUAGGCAAAUUGAGGAGAACCCAGAGAAAUGUGAAGUCCAAUUUAAUGAAAUUUUAAAAAAGAAAACUGAGACAAGCUAUGAAGGGAAAAGUCUUAAGUGAAAUAAAUAGCAUAAAUCAAAAACAAUCACAACUUCUAGAAAUGAAGGACACACUUAGAGAAAUAAAAAAUACACUGGAAAGUCAUAGCAAUAGAAUUCAGUGAGCAAAAGACAGAACUUUCUUUUUUUUUAUUGCAUUUUAGGUUUUGGGGUACAUGUGCAGAACAUGCAAGAGAGUUGCAUAGGUACACACAUGGCAGUGUGUUUUGCUGCCUUCCUCCCUUUCACCCACAUUUGGCAUUUCUCCC